CGCGGCCUAUCAGCUUGUUGGUGGGGUAAUGGCCUACCAAGGCGACGACGGGUAGCCGGCCUGAGAGGGUGAUCGGCCACACUGGGACUGAGACACGGCCCAGACUCCUACGGGAGGCAGCAGUGGGGAAUAUUGCACAAUGGGCGAAAGCCUGAUGCAGCGACGCCGCGUGGGGGAUGACGGUCUUCGGAUUGUAAACUCCUUUCAGUAGGGACGAAGCGAAAGUGACGGUACCUGCAGAAGAAGCACCGGCCAACUACGUGCCAGCAGCCGCGGUAAUACGUAGGGUGCAAGCGUCGUCCGGAAUUACUGGGCGUAAAGAGCUCGUAGGCGGUUUGUCACGUCGUCUGUGAAAUCCUCCAGCUCAACUGGGGGCGUGCAGGCGAUACGGGCAGACUUGAGUACUACAGGGGAGACUGGAAUUCCUGGUGUAGCGGUGAAAUGCGCAGAUAUCAGGAGGAACACCGGUGGCGAAGGCGGGUCUCUGGGUAGUAACUGACGCUGAGGAGCGAAAGCAUGGGGAGCAAACAGGAUUAGAUACCCUGGUAGUCCAUGCCGUAAACGGUGGGCGCUAGGUGUGGGGUCCUUCCACGGAUUCCGUGCCGUAGCUAACGCAUUAAGCGCCCCGCC
rnacentral:rRNA from 1 species